GCAUGUCUAAGUAUAUACAGUUUAUACUGUGAAACUGCGAAUGGCUCAUUAAAUCAGUUAGAGUUUAUUUGAUGGUACCACACUACUCGGAUAACCCUUAGUAAAGCUACAGCUAAUACGUGCGUAACUCCCGACUUACGAAGGGACGUAUUUAUUAGAUUCAAGGCCGACCGUGCUCUGCACGUCUUUGGUGAAUCAUGGUAACUUCACGAAUCGCAGGGUCUAUCCCGGCGAUGUUUCAUUCAACUUUCUGCCCUAUCAACUUUCGACGGUAGUAUAGAGGACUACCGUGGUGGUAACGGGUGACGGA
rnacentral:rRNA from 1 species